rnacentral:sRNA from 1 species
AUCACUGCCAAUUUAUCUACCACUGCCAAUCUAUCUAUUGCUGCUAAUCUAUCGCUGCUGUCAAUCUAUCUAUCGCUGCUAAUCUAUCUACCACUGCCAAUCUAUCUAUCACUGCUAAUCUAUUGCUGCUGUCAAUCUAUCUAUCGCUGCUAAUCUAUCACUGCUAAUCUAUCGCUGCUAAUCUAUCGCUGCUAAUCUAUCGCUGCUAAUCUAUCGCUGCUAAUCUAUCGCUGCCAAUCUAUCUACCGCGGCGAAUCUAUCUAUUGCUGCCAACCAACCUAUCUACCACUGCCAAUCUAUCUAUCGCUGCCAAUCUAUCGCUGCCAAUCUAUCGCUGCCAACCUAUCUACUGCAGUGAAUCUAUCUAUCACUAUCAUUACUAGUUCAAAAUAGAACUAGAGCAUAAAUACACUAAACUUCUUUUGAUAGAUAAUGAUUUUUGGUAAUGCUCAUAGCAUUAUAUCAUCUAUAUAGGGUAAAUCAUGGUCCCAUUUGGUCCCAUUUUAACAAAAUGGGACCAAAUGGAAUCAGAAUCAGUAAUUUAUAAGAAGAACAUGACCUGAGACUAGAUUUAUAAUAUAAACAGUGUAAAGUGAC